UAAUAGGCGCUAUGGUUACUGGCUCAGACUCACUUAACGUGGUCCAAGUCACCUUUGACAUCAAGAUCAAGAACCAGCUGGAAGGUAAACAUGGCUGAGGUGCGGCGUCUCCCAAGGUCUUUUCAUCCUAGGCGGGACAUAUUGAACAGUUUAAGUGACGCAGAACUUGUCAAAAUAUACAGACUGAACAGGGGAGGAAUUGUGUUUGUUCCUGAUUUAGUAAGAAAUGAAUUAACAUCCCCAAUAUCAAGAAACAAGGCCGUCUCUCCGGGGGGGCAGUGGUUAUCCUAGUCAGAGGUGGCUGUUGACUCCAUACCUGCGCCCUCUGCCUGGCCCACAAACUUACUACAACAGUGCACACAAGAGGACCAGAUGCACCGUGGAGAGGGUCAACGGGCAGUGGAAGCGACGAUUCCACAUACUUCAUGGGGAAAGGCUUAAGUCCCCUGCAUAUGUGAGCAGGAUCAUCGAGGUGUGUGCUUUGCUGCACAGCAUUGCAAGGAAAGGAACAUCGAUUUACCUGCAGGUAACGAGGCUGGUGAGAGUGCACGGCCUCUACCUGUUGUGCAGAUAGCACCUGCUGCUGGACGGAACCAGCGGGAUGGUCUGCGAUACAGGGAUGCAUACGUCAAUUUUCACUUCAAUGCUGGUCCUCACCCUGUCCCUGCCCAACCCUAACCAUCCCCAUGAGGAAAAAUGACAAGCUUCCACACAUACACUACUGAGUCCUGCAAUCUGCCUGCAUUCCUGCUGCUUCAACUCAGUUUCUUGUGGAGUGUUGGGGAAGUUGAUGAAUCUUCUGAGUAUACCAACGGCUGAAAGUGUGUACACCGUCUCCUUGCUGGUCGUCUGUUGUGAUGGGCCCAAGUCAUCACUACUACACCGUUUCAUUUUUCUGAUGCAAUUUAUUUGACAAUAUUAACCACUGUAAACUGGGGGAUGGGAUGGAUGGCUGUUUCUUGACCUUUGGGGUGAUACUACAACUUAAACAAAAUCAGUGACAAUCACAAUUCAUUCCUUAUUAUUAUUAUUAUUAUUUCUUAUUACGCCUUAUUAUUUUAGUAGUUUUUCUUCAUUGUUUGGUAUUAAGUAAAUUUUGGAACAACCGCUGUUGUUCUGGUGCUGUCUCUGUCCUGUUGGCCCUUCAAACCAGUGACAAAAGAACCCAUUAACCCAAUACAGGGCCAGUAUAACAUUUACCUGAUUAAUGUUUACCGUCCCCAUUUUGCCCCAGCAUGUACCUGUGUAAUAAACAUCCUGUUUUGGGUAAGAAAAAUAAUCAUUGUAUAUCAUUAAUAUUUAUUUACUCCAACAGAAAAGAAUGACAUAGAUAAUUCAGGGAUUAACCCUUAAAGCGCGGGCUUGUUUUGCCGUGCCUGUCCUCCCACGUGGGCAUAUUCAGGCAAAAACAUACCUUACUUAUCUUUUUAUAUCUUCACUUCUACUUAUCUCACGUGCCUGAAUGAAGUAUCAUUGUAAAGUACAUACCAUACAUAGCUGGAACUGCCUGAGGGUUGGUUUAGGAGGAAGCAGUGAGGGUGGUAGCUGGUGUAGGGGCUGACUGUCUGGGGCCGGGCUGCGUGGUUAUUGGGUCCUCCUCCUCCUCAAGUAACCUGCUGGUUAAGUUCAAAGUGAUGCAUGUUGAAAAAGUGUUAAUAUGUUAAAACAUAUUUAGAACCAUAAUAAAUAGUUAUGUAUACCAUUAAUAAUUAAUGCUGGUACUCCAUGCACUGAAUUAAUAAAUUAAAUUUAAAUAAAAAAGAUAUGGUAACUGUUGAUUUACAUUUUUUUUAUUCAUACUUUUAUACAACAAAGAAAAGCAACUAGUUUGUGGUAAGCACACUGGAAAUUGACUUGGGAAACUCCAAGUGAGGGAGAAAAUAAUUUCAAAUUGAUCUCAAGAUAUAGUAUGAGAAAUAAUCAAAAUGAAAAAAAUAUAAAUAGGUUUCACCCUAAGAAUAAUGAAAAAAAUAUUUGAUGUAUGCACGAACAUUAC